rnacentral:lncRNA from 1 species
GGGAAAUGUAUAAUUUAAAGCAUCCCCAGACCAGAGCGCUAACAAAAUCACACAGUAAUCUAAAAGCUUUAGGCUGUUCUUAAAUUAAAUAAUACAAAGAGUAAUACUCUCUCUACGCUUUAUACAAUCUACGCUAAAACGUUUGGCACAAACCGGAGUAAUUACAGUUCUUUUUUUCAAAAUAUUAAAAAAAUAGUGUUUUAAACUUUCUGCAGAAAGUUAAUAAAUGGACUCGUUAGAAUGCCUGCAAUCAUUGUAAGCUUUGAAAAGGUACUUCACUUUAAUUGUUUUAUCAGGCCGUAGCACGCUACUCAAAAUGUAUUACUGUAUCACUUUCCGAUUCCGACUUUUUCUAAGGUGUGUAAAUACCGGAGACAGCGAUGAUCCAAUCACAGUCGACGCCGUGUGACGUCCCCGUGUUCCCCUAAACAAAGUCCGGGGGAAACCGUACCGCCGUGGAAGUUAUGAUGUGGAAAUAGAUGGUGUGGAGGUGUUGCGGCGUGCAAAGUUCAUCGUCCAAAUCGCUGUAAAGAAGAAGCAUGGAGAUUGAUGCUUCGUUACCCAAGACUUGUGCUUUGGAUUCUGCACAAGACUCUCAGUCCACUGGAGAGCCUCAUCGUGAGCUGAUUUCAGCCUCACAAGAAACAAGAGAUGGAGAAACAUGCUCAUCUUCCAAAGCCCCCUGCUCACUAGAGAUGGACACCUCUGACAAAGACCAAGAAAAUCACAAACACGAGAUUGGUAGAACUUCCUUAUUCACACUCCUGUAUUAGAGUUGUUUAACAGAGCUGAUGGACUCAUUUCUGUUCGUUUGUCUUGAUUUGUCAACCUUUUUUAUUUGAUGUUUUAGGAGAUGGUUUUAUUGUUUUAUUGAUGUCUUAAUUU